rnacentral:tRNA from 1 species
UUGGGGGUGGGCUAACGAAGCUGCAGGGUUCAUACCUCUGAGAUGAUAAUUCCUCCCAUA